ensembl:snRNA U5 U5 spliceosomal RNA
AUACUCUGGUUUCUCUUCAGAUUGUAUAAAUCUUUCAUUUUUUACUAAAGAUUUCCUUGGAGAGGAACAGAAACGAGAGUCAAGGAAUUUUUUGAGGCUCCAUUUCAGUGGUGUU